AGUUUAGUUUUAAGGAGCAGAGGUAGAAAUUCUAGCCGCCUUGCAUAACUACACAGCCUGCUGUUUGCCAACAUAUGCGAGUUAUUAUGGUAGACAACUGUCAGGAUUUUCCGGAUAGAUCUUACCGAUUGGCGCUGUCUAAGGAAUCCCACUUGGUUAUUGGUGCGUCAAGUAUUUCCCUAUCCUGAACCGUCAACUUUUGAAGGUUGGCCUCUUGUAUAAACUUGAGUCCAUCUGGUGGGUCAUCUGAAGGAGUGUCAUACAGGGUUUUAAAGUGAGAAGUCAAAAUGUCCUUUAUUUGGGAGGGGUCUUUAGUCCAGCCAUGCGUGGAUUUUAAUUUGGAUAUGUAGCAAUUUGUUGAGCGUCUAUUCGCAAUUUUGGCCAAGAGUUUCCCAGAUUUAUUACCCCACCUAUAAAAAAGGUUUGCUGUAUGAUGUAAAGAGCUGUGUGCCUUGUCAGUCAAUAAAGUAUCAAACAGUUGCUUGGUCUCCUUGUAUUUAUUCUUGUCUUCUAGGAGAUUAGACAGUUUAAAGGUCGCAUAGUGUUGAGUAAGCUGUUGUUGUAAAAGAGCAUAUUUAUCAAGAAAGAUUUUUCUUUUCUUAAUCAGAUAAGAUAUAAUAUGUCCCCUCAAGACAGGU